AUUGAACGCUGGCGGCAGGCCUAACACAUGCAAGUCGAACGGUAACAGGAAGCAGCUUGCUGCUUCGCUGACGAGUGGCGGACGGGUGAGUAAUGUCUGGGAAACUGCCUGAUGGAGGGGGAUAACUACUGGAAACGGUAGCUAAUACCGCAUAACGUCGCAAGACCAAAGAGGGGGACCUUAGGGCCUCUUGCCAUCGGAUGUGCCCAGAUGGGAUUAGCUAGUAGGUGGGGUAACGGCUCACCUAGGCGACGAUCCCUAGCUGGUCUGAGAGGGUGACCCGCCACCCUGGAAGUGAGACACGGUCCAGACUCCUACGGGAAGCAGCAGUGGGGAAUAUUGCACGAUGGGCGCAAGCCUGAUGCAGCCAUGCCGCGUGUAUGAAGAAGGCCUUCGGGUUGUAAAGUACUUUCAGCGGGGAGGAAGGGAGUAAAGUUAAUACCUUUGCUCAUUGACGUUACCCGCAGAAGAAGCACCGGCUAACUCCGUG
rnacentral:rRNA from 1 species